UACGGGGGGGGCAAGCGUUGUUCGGAAUUACGGGGCGUAAAGGGCUUGUAGGCGGCCCGGUAAGUCCGCUGUGAAAGUCCAGGGCUCAACCCUGGGAUGCCGGUGGAUACUGUCGGGCUCGAGUCCGGAAGAGGAGUGUGGAAUUCCUGGUGUAGCGGUGAAAUGCGCAGAUACCAGGAGGAACACCAAUGGCGAAGGCAGCACUCUGGGACGUGACUGACGCUGAGACGCGAAAGCGUGGGGAGCAAACAGG
rnacentral:rRNA from 1 species